UAGGGAAUCUUCGGCAAUGGGGGCAACCCUGACCGAGCAACGCCGCGUGAGUGAAGAAGGUUUUCGGAUCGUAAAGCUCUGUUGUAAGAGAAGAACGUGUGUGAGAGUGGAAAGUUCACACAGUGACGGUAACUUACCAGAAAGGGACGGCUAACUACGUGCCAGCAGCCGCGGUAAUACGUAGGUCCCGAGCGUUUUCCGGAUUUAUUGGGCGUAAAGCGAGCGCAGGCGGUUUAAUAAGUCUGAAGUUAAAGGCAGUGGCUUAACCAUAGUUCGCUUUGGAAACUGUUAAACUUGAGUGCAGAAGGGGAGAGUGGAAUUCCAUGUGUAGCGGUGAAAUGCGUAGAUAUAUGGAGGAACACCGGUGGCGAAAGCGGCUCUCUGGUCUGUAACUGACGCUGAGGCUCGAAAGCGUGGGGAGCAAACAGG
rnacentral:rRNA from 1 species